rnacentral:rRNA from 1 species
UACGUAGGGUCCGAGCGUUGUCCGGAAUUAUUGGGCGUAAAGAGCUCGUAGGCGGUUUGUCGCGUCUGCUGUGAAAACCGGAGGCUCAACCUCCGGCCUGCAGUGGGUACGGGCAAACUAGAGUGCGGUAGGGGAGAUUGGAAUUCCUGGUGUAGCGGUGGAAUGCGCAGAUAUCAGGAGGAACACCGAUGGCGAAGGCAGAUCUCUGGGCCGUAACUGACGCUGAGGAGCGAAAGCGUGGGGAGCGAACAGG